rnacentral:misc_RNA from 1 species
AACGCACAUUGCGCCCCUUGGUAUUCCGAGGGGCAUGCCUGUUCGAGCGUCAUUACAACCCUCAAGCUCUGCUUGGUAUUGGGCACCAUCCGUCAGGGUGUGCCUUAAAGACAGUGGCGGCGCCAUCUGGCUCUAAGCGUAGUAAUUUUCUCGCUAUAGGGUCCUGUGAAUGCUUGCCAGCAACCCAACUUUAUCCUAUGGUUGACCUCGGAUCAGGUAGGGAUACCCGCUGAACUUAA